UCUCCGUUGGUGAACCAGCGGAGGGAUCAUUAAAGAGUUAGGGACUUCCAAGCCCGUCCUCCCAACCCUCUGCUUAUUUAACCCUGGUUGCUUCGGUGGGUCCGCCUCACGACCGCCGGGGGACGGCCGCGACGCGCCCAAUGCCUCGCACCCGCCGGCAGCCCAACUUUAAAUCCUUUAUGUAUCGCAACACAUUUCACAACGAUGAUUAAAGAUCAAAAAAAAACUUACAACAAAGGAUAUCUGGGGUCCGGCAUCGAGGAAGAAAGCAGCAUAUCG
rnacentral:misc_RNA from 1 species